GACGACGCUGGCGGCAGGCCUAACACAUGCAAGUCGAGCGAGCGGCGGACGGGUGAGUAAUGCAUGGGGAUCUGCCCGAUGGAGGGGGAUAACUACUGGAAACGGUGGCUAAUACCGCAUACUAUAGGAUGAACCCAAUGGGGAUUAGCUAGUAGGUGGGGUAAAGGCUCACCUAGGCGACGAUCUCUAGCUGGUCUGAGAGGAUGACCAGCCACACGGGGACUGAGACACGGCCCAGACUCCUACGGGAGGCAGCAGUGGGGAAUAUUGCACAAUGGGCGCAAGCCUGACGCAGCCAUGCCGCGUGGAUGAAGAAGGCCUUAGGGUUGUAAAGUACUUUCAGCGGGGAGGCGUUACCCGCAGAAGAAGCACCGGCUAACUCCGUGCCAGCAGCCGCGGUAAUUC
rnacentral:rRNA from 1 species